CUUCUAUCGACAGCAACGCCGCUUUUCCGGCCUUGGACUACAUUUCCCUUAAGGCUUUGCUGGUCGACAUUCUAUGUCUCUCCGUCUGUCUUUCCCACGCGAACUUGGCGGCCUCUUCCUGUGAUUAUGAUGCUCUCAGUGUGAGUACUUCUGCCUUGAAAGAAGAUCAGCUCAAGGCUGGUGGAAGGUUUGGAGCCGGAACCGCACCCCACUCUUUGAAGCCUCCCGAGGGCAGCGUCAAACGCGCCAAGUCCACACUCUGAGGUAUGAGGACGCCAUCUUCUCUGUAGCUGGUCUGGCUCUGGACUACAUUUCCCAGAGUGCACAGCGGCCCAGCGUUGCGUCUCUCUUGACGUCGUGGCGAGGUCGUUAGCUCCGCAGGGCCCCGGACGCGACCACGGGGAGGCAGAAGGAAGUUGCUUCUGUAAAUUAGGUGUGAAUUCUUUUUGGAGCAAGGAAGACAUCCUGGACUGUGGAAAGAGGUUAACAAGAGGCCUGUGCACAGGACUCUGCACUUGUUCAAGAGAAGAAUCUAAAGAAAUCCAAGCAGGACAGGUAGUUCUAAAAGCCAUGACCCAGGUAAGUUGAAGUUUCCUCUAUCCUUGAAAUAAUAUCAACAUUUGUGUUCUUUAUCCUGAGACUUCCCUGUCUGGCUGAGCCCCCAUUCAGUAACCUGCUCCCAGUUCCUCCAUUGCAGAGAAUGAGCAAUGUUGCCUCACCUCCCUUUGUGGCCCUCUCUUCUACAACAGUGUUCACAUACGUGCACAGUGUUCUUACCAGAGCACCAAUGGAGCAGAAAUAUAUUCUCUUGAGAGAAAUUUGAGAGCUGCCCUUAUCAGAACCAUGGUUGAAUAGAGCCAAAGAUAAGCUAACUUUGAUCUUUUCCAUUAACCCAAGUACUUUCCUUUUUUUCUUCUAUUUUAAAAUAUCAUCCCCUCUUUAAAAAUCAUAAAACAUUUCACAGUAUUGAAACAUACAAAAACGUGUCUAUAACAUAUAUAUGGUAUAAAGAAUAAUAAAAUGAGUUGAUAUAU